AGCAUUCUGGUGCGGCUUGCCAUUGUGCGGUGCUUCCCAGUGCACAGGGAGCUUCCGAGCAGCCUCUCGUUUGAUUCUCACCCUCAUCUUACCACUCCCCGGUUCACAGGUGAGGAAACGGAGGCUCAGGGAGGCUGGUCCGAGACCCCAUUGUGAAUGGGAGAAGGGCACCCUCCCCUUGGCGUCGAGGGCCGUUCCUGCAGGCGUCUCCCUUGUGCAGAGAGGGAGGGACAGCCCUCCAGCUCCCUGGGGCAGAGCCAGAGGAGCCGGGUGCAGGGGCAGCUGCCGUGGAAAGGGGGUGGUCUCGGGGGAAGACGGGUAACUUUCUGACUCCAUCCAUACACACAGCCUCCCAUCCCGCACUCCACCCUCCAGGCUCAUUUCCUACCACUCCCAUUCACCUGGCUGUAGCCAAUGGGACUGCCCAGGUCUCUCCAAAUGAGGCCUCCGUUAUCCUGCACCCAAGGGCUCAAAGUCUCCUCCUCCAUCACCUCUCCCCAUGCCCCACCCUGUGUGAGUUUCCUGCCUCGGACUCCUGGCGCCUUGUGUCUCCCUGUCCUGUAAUUAACCGUUUUCUCCCCUAAAGUAGAAAUAGUUCUGUGUACCCUGCUUUCCCCUAGUUAGACCAUAAGCUUACAAGGUCGGGAAGCUAUCUUCCCGUGUGUAUAGCCCUAGAAGUUUCUCGCAGAGCAACAUACUAGUACAAGUGAAAACCACACGCAUCCCAAAACAGCGCCUUCUCUCAUGUGGGUGCUGAAGUUGAGGCUUUGAGGAAAAUGAAGAGAAGACAGGCCACUCAAAGGAGACGGAUACGUGCCCGGGCCCCUCCACACGCCCACUGGCCCAGGUAACCCCAAAAUGUGGCCAACAUCACAGCCUUCAGAAAAGGGAGUCUUCUCUGACUUAAGGUUUAUUUUGUUUCCGGUUUCUUUGCGGAGGGGUGGGUGGGCUUCCAUGACGUAGCAGUAGAAAUUAUUCUGGGGAGAAGAAAGGAGCGUUCUCUCAGGUGCCCCCACGAUUUUCUAGAAGGGGGGCCAGGGCCUCUUGACCAGAGGCUGCCCAGCAUGAGCAGGCGCUGGCAGACGGGCUCCAGGAGACAGCGCCGAGAGCCCAGCCCAGAUCCGAGUCCUGCAGACACUUGGCUGGGCCUCACCCGGGCUGCAGCCCUGGCCCGGCAUGCAGGGAGGGGCUCCUGCGCGGUGGGCAGUGGCCAGAGCCGAGUCCCCCCUGAUAGGUUCCGGCGGCCAAAAUAGGUUGCAGAGGUGGUAGGGACAGGGCUCAGCGGUUACCCUGACUUCACUUCUCUGGGCCUCGGUUCCCCGCUUGUAAAAUGGGGACAGAGAGCUUGCUCCAUGGGCCCCAAAGGAACCAAAUAAAGUAUAUAAAGUGCCUGGGGCAUUUUGGCGGUUCAGGAAAUAUCAGGUCUCUCUCUCUCUCUCUCUCUCUCUCUCUCUCUCUCUCUCUCUCUCUCUCUCUCUCCUUCCCUUUCCUUUAGCUUUGCUUCAGAAAGGAUUUCUGAUAAAAGGAAUCAUAACCUGAGAAACCUGGAGAACAAACAUUUAGAUCCAACAGAGUUGACCUGUGAGUAAAGGUAAAGCUGAGAAUUUCCCACCUCUUCCUCCCUUUGUAAUUUAUUCACAGAGGUCAGCACUGUCUUUGUCCCUUUGUGAUUCAUUCACAGAGGUCAGCGCUAUCUUUGCUCCUGGGGACGGUGAGGUGCCAGCACAGCUGCCACCCUUGUCUAACAGUCGCAGAUCUUUAGCUCCUAAGCCAUCGCUCAGUCCUUCGCACUGAUGAUGAAUCAGGCAUUGGGGCCCCAUGCUGGGCCCCACCAGGGCUCCUCUGUCUUUGCAGCCCACUCUCCGCCCCCCUCUCCCUCUCUCCCCAGAACUCACCGAGGGGUCCGGGUGCUCACGGCUGGUGAUGGCAGGGUUCAUGGCAACUCGGGGUCUUCUCCUGUGGGUGUCCUCGCAGGAUAGAGAAGAACUGAAGCCUCUCUACUAGAGAAAGGUUAACUUCUCAAAGCCUGCUGAAAUAACGAGGAGAAAGACAGGCAUCCGGCUGGCUCUGGGGAGGGUGGGGCCUCCAAGCCCCGCCCGCUGAUGGACAAGGGACUCCCCAACCCCACUCAUCCCGCCCCCAGUCCUCUCCCUCUCUGGUCACUGCAGGGGACCAAGGUGCAUUCUGCUGUAGCCAGCGUUCACCCUUUGACAGGUUAGGGCAAUUACAGCGAGGUUAAUGACCCCCUUAACACAAGGAAACAAGUCAGAGCACAGCCCCUCGGGGUGUGGCAGGAGCGCACUUUCCAGAAGCAGGGAUGGGAGGUGAGCGGGUGAGUGAGGGUGAGGCUCUGGGCUGAAGCCAGAGACUUCAGUUUUCUAAAGCUGGUUCUAGUGACUAGUUGAGCUGGAAUGCAAACAUUGCAAACAUCGCCCCGUGGGCCUGGCCCCUGAGGUGCAUUCAUGAAGUCAUUAAUGAGGAAAAGGGUAUUACCGUUGACCUGGGAGCAGCUGCCAACGCUCCUUGUUGGGGCAAAGCUUCAAGCGAGAGCCUGAGGAGAAAUGACUUCAGUCCUUGGGUGACUGUCUCUGUAUCAGCCAGGAAAUGUCUAAUGACCCACCUUCUGGGAAGAGAAAUUCAGGAGGGUGUCGUUGCUCUUAUUCCGGACAGGGUACUUGGAAGGCUCUAUAAAAAACUCUUGAUAAAGCCCACUCUGUGAAGUUCAUAGUUACUCAGGAUGAUGGAAUGUUCUGGAAUGGGCGACACUGAGCCUCAAGAUUCUGGAAGCACAUAGCAGUAUGCACACGGACGUCAGUGGGAGCUGGUCCAAGAGCAAGCCCUGAAAAACACAACAAUGAGACUAGAUGUGUCAUGUGGUAGGAGACAGGCCUGAUCUGGGCUGUGACAGAAAGCAAAGGUCAGAAGAGAGGCAAAGGUCACAAAGUAGCUGACCUCCACGGAACACAUUACCACCGACACUACACUCUGUUUUAUAUGAUCGUGUUUUAUGUUCACCACAGACCAGCAUUCACAUCCUUCUUUCACGGAUUGAGAAAUUCAGGGCUGGAUGGGUUGAGUGUUUGCCCAAGGUUAUAGCAAACACUGGAACUGAAAUUCAAAUCCAGACUAUCAGGUUCCACAGCCCUCGGGGGUCAAGGAGAUGCCAGAUGGCGAUGUGCAGGCCGUGCGGGUCUGAAGAUGGGCAGGCUGAGGCUCAGGGAAGAUGUUGGCCACGGAGGAGGUCCCCCACCCUGUCCCUGGAUGAAAACACUGAUCCUCUACAAAUGGCACCCAGGGGCCCCAAGUUCACCUCAGAAGUGAAGCUGCUGGCAGCCACUCAAUGACUACCUAGAGCCUGAGAAGGAAGCCAGCCUGGAACACAGAGCCGAGAGGGAGAGAAGCUGGGUCCCAGUCCAUAUAUCAUGCCAUCCACCUUUGCUAGUAAGUGCUCUUUUGGGCUUAAACCAAUUUGAUUUGGGUUUUCUAUCAUUUGCAACCAAAAUAUACCAGUCCACAAACUUACACUUUUAUCUACAAUCCCAGACCAGUAUAGAAUGAUUUACAUAAUAUUUGCUGAUUUUUUACCCUUCACUAACAAUGACUGUUAAAUUCCAAAAGCAUUCAGAUAACUUAAACAUCAAUUCUAAUGCUAACGACCUCAAUCUAAUUUUCCAUGAUAUAUGGAUUUGUCUAAAAUGUGGCAAAAACAACCCAAGAGAGGCCCUGGGAAUCGAUUUAAAGGCCACUUGUUCCUAAGAGGCUUCACUCAAAUAAAUACCUGAUUUCAUAUCUGGAGGGGCGAGAAACCAACAUUAGCCACGGAGGGCGGGCUUUUCUACAUCUUUAUUGAGCCCUGACCUAUUUCAUCACAAAUUGGAGUUGUAGGAUUGUAGGUUUGGUUCUGCAAAAUUGUUUACUUCCAAUUUUGAUAAGUGCAGCUUCGGAAAGCUGCCUCAAGUGGUCUGUGGCUCCUGAUUUAUGACUUCACGGUCUAAACAGCCUCCAUAUUCACACUUAAUUGAAUUUCAGUUGAUAAAACAGAGGUUGGCCAGCUCAUAGACUCAACCUGGCCCACUGCCUAUUUGUGUGAAUAGAGUUUUACGGGAAUAGAUCCACGCCCACUGGUCCACAUGGUCUCCAGAGCUGCUUUUGUGUCACCCGGUUGAAUAGCUGUGUCAGGCCCACAGGCCUAAAAUAAUUUAUUACUGGCCGUUUUACAGAAGGAGUUUGCUCACUCCUGUUCUAGAAUGCCAGUCCGGAAACUCAUGCUUAAGAAAAACGUAUCACUUUUCAUUUUUUCAUUGCACAACGUAGGUAUGAUUUUAAAUAAAAACAAAGUAUAACUAAACUUUUUUUUUUUUUUUACCCAAGUUUCUCCUCUCCAAUUGCUACCAGUCUGUGCUUUUCUCUUACAGAGCUCCACAUAGUACAAGCCUCUGGGUUCGGGCUGGCGUGCACAGGCAUGCUUCCGGGGCUGUUUAACGGGAAUUUGCCAUUAAUCAUCUUGUUUCUCUGCUCUUGUGUAACCAACUGCUUCUGCUAACCCUUCAGCUUGUCUCUGAGUCUUGGUGCUCAAGCCCUUCUGUGGGACAAGCAGGGACCGAGGAAGAGUACCCAGGGUGGUGCCAGGAGCCAGGGCUGGGCACCUGGGUGGGAUGAAACUGGCCUGAGGGCUGGGGAGGAGGGCGGAACCAAGGCCUGAAACCAGCGUGUGGAGAGUAGGGUUGAAAACCAUUUCUCUAACACAAUCAGGCAGGCUCCAAAUUUGGAAAACAAGUUGCCCUAAUUUCACAGCUGCUCCGAGCGUGGUGCCCUGCAGCCAGCUGGGUGUCUUCCAGAUUCUGGCUCUUCCUCGUGGCACUCCGUGGAGGGUGGCCCUUCCGCAGGCCGGACCCUCCCUGCUCCUGCGUGUCCUCCUCACUGCAGUGUGGGCACUGACUCCUCUUUGUGAAUCCGCCGAGAGGUGGGGAAGCCUGGGCCAGAGACCUUUUAGAUCUGGGCCAUUGACUGAAUGUUCGUGUCCCCCAGGAUUCAUUCAUAGGGUAAAUCCUAAAGCCAACGUGAUGGUAUGUGGAGGUGGGGCCCUGGGGAGUAAUAAAGGUGGAGCCCUCUUAAUGGAAUGAAUGCCCUUAUCAAAUAGGCCUCACAGAGCUCCCUCGCCCUUUCUGCCACGUGAGGACACGGCAAAGAGGCGGCUGUCUACGAACCAGGAAGCAGGUCCUCGCCAGUCCCUGCCACCCAGCCUAUGGCAUUUUUAAUUUAACAGCCCAAACAGACUAAGGCAAUCUGGCAUGUGCGGAAUUCCCUUGUGAUUGGCUUUAUAAGAAGAGAGUGGUGGUUUUGGCCUGCGGCCUUUCCUCUGCUCAAUGCCUCUCAGGAGGAGUUUGACCUAAAUACUUUUGGCAAGCAGUGCCCGUCCUCUCUCCAGGCGCUCCGGGAGGAGAAAUUUUCUGACUAGGAAGUAGAAUUUUAGAUUUGGAGAGCUGGAAGGAACUACAGAAGAAACUAAUGUCCAGAGAAGAAGGGAACCUGUUGGUUCAUGUGCCUCAUCUCAGUGAAUGACACCAACAUCCCCAGACACUCAAGCCAGAGCUUGGUCCACCAUACUCAAUUCUUCCCAAGUCCUGCUAACGUCACCUCCUAAGUAUAUCACAUGCACGCCCAAUUCUCUCUCGUGGUGACAAAUACAAUAACUUCAUCUAAGCCACCUUCUUUGCUUCUCUUUUAAUUCGACAUCAGCUUCCUUAUGAAUUUAUGCACAGCAGUCUGGAUAAACUCUCUUUUUUUAAAAAAAAAAAAUGAGAUGAUUUGUCAGUUACAACUUGUUACUUUACAACCUAAUAGUUUAGAUUACAACCUGUUCAUUUACAGUGCUACCAAAAGUUCAAAGCUUAAAGGGAAAUGGCUCUUUUCUUUUUAAUAUACUUUUAUUGAUUUCAGAGAGGAAAGGAGAUAGAUAGAUA